AUUAUUUUUUCAAUGAGCAGAUUGCAUAUUUUGUGGACCUAGUCACGAUUGUCUUGUUGAAUGCUUGCCCACCUGCCAGUCGCAAGAUAACCCUCCCAAGUUUCCUCCUAUCAAAUGUGAAACUUACAUGCUCCAGCGGUACAAGGAUACUCAUGCUGUUCUCGAGUCAUACGAAAAAUGAUUCACCAAACUUUGUUGUCAAUAUUACUGGGAUUUUCGCUUCAAGUGUAGAACACAGAGGUUAGCUCCUUCCUGCCACAAUUUGUAUGGAAACAGGUUCUCUUAGUUGAAUAUUGGAGAAAUAUCAUGUAAUCUUUUUUUGGUUGCAAAUGUAAUGUUGAUAUAUAUGUAAAACAUGUAGGAGAAUAUGCAAAAUAUUUAUUAAAAUUU